rnacentral:rRNA from 1 species
AGCAUGACUCUCGGCAACGGAUAUCUUGGCUCUCGCGUCGAUGAAGAACGUAGCGAAAUGCGAUACUUGGUGUGAAUUGCAGAAUCCCGUGAACCAUCGAGUCUUUGAACGCAAGUUGCGCCUGAGGCUUUCUGGCUGAGGGCACGCCUGCCUGGGCGUCACG